rnacentral:misc_RNA from 1 species
CCCGCACAGCCGCACAGGCGCGUCCCGACGUCCCGCACUCCUGCCGGCGCUCGUUCCUUCAGGCCUCCAGCCUCCGGCCGCUCGCCCGCUCGACCGCAGACCGCUCCUGGCGGCGCUCCAGCCUCCAGCCGCUCGGAGCCUCGGCACGCUCCGCGCUCCAGCCGUCCGCUCCGACGCUCCGCUGAUCUGCUUGUCUGGUUGUCUUGUCCCGCCCGGCGGCCGGCUGCUUGCCGCUUGGUCCCGCCGAGGCGUCGACCCACACCGCACGGCUGCCACCUGCCGCUGCUUCCUGCUUGGUCGCACGUCUGCUUGUCUAGUUGUCUGCUUGGCUGCUUGCUUAGUGCUUCUAGUUGUCUGCUUGCUUCGUGCUUCUGUGCUUCUAGUUGUCUGAUGGUGUGACUUGUGAGACUUGUGAGCAUAUAAAGGUCAAAGGUAGCGCGUGAGUAUUUGAUUAUGCGUGUCUAAUCUAUUAGAUUUUUCGAUGUGCAGAUUUUUCAAUUUCUAAAUAGCAGUCUUGGAUACAAACAAAAACAAGACAAAGAAUAUGGCCCAAAAAGUAUCUCUAUAUUAUGUGAACACUCCCUGUUGC